rnacentral:rRNA from 1 species
AUUGAACGCUGGCGGCAGGCCUAACACAUGCAAGUCGAACGAGUGGCGGACGGGUGAGUAAUGUCUGGGAAACUGCCCGAUGGAGGGGGAUAACUACUGGAAACGGUAGCUAAUCCCGCCUACCAUCUUAUGUGCCCAGAUGGGAUUAGCUCGUGGGUGGGGUAACGGCUCACCUCGGCGACGAUCCCUCGCUGGUCUGAGAGGAUGACCAGCCACACUGGAACUGAGACACGGUCCAGACUCCUACGGGAGGCAGACGUGGGGAAUAUUGCACAAUGGGCGCAAGCCUGAUGCAGCCAUGCCGCGUGUAUGAAGAAGGCCUUCGGGUUGUAAAGUACUUUCAGCGAGGAGGCGUUACUCGCAGAAGAAGCACCGGCUAACUCCGUGCCAGCAGCCGCGGUAAUUC